CGCCUCCCAGGCCACAGGCCCUCCCCUGUGCCAAGCUGCUGGCUGUCUUAGAAACAGGAGGGCACAGCUGUGGACCAGGGCACGCAUGGGCCAACCCCCAAGGGAAAGCCCUGCUCUCGUGAAAUGUGUCCCUUCCCGGGUCAGCACAGCGCCUGGAACUGGAUGAGGAAGCACAGGCUGGUAGCCUGGGACAGUGGCACCCAGUCCCAGGUGCCCUGUUCCAUUCCCCAGGGGCCAUCAGGGACAGGCUUGACAUCUAAGGCCUCUGUCCUGCACCAGCUGACCAGGCUGGGCUCGGGCUGGGCUGCUAGGGAUGGCACUGGAUACCACCAUGGGGCAUCACCACAGAACUGGGAUCUAGCUGGAAUAGGACAGGUGGAGGUCCAGAGUAGAAGGCUCCCUGACCACCUGGAGGAGGAGUCGGGAGACCUCCUCCUUAUGCCUUAAAGUCUUCAUUUGUCAACAUGGUGCAGUGGCGGUGAAGAGCGCAGGCUGUGGGACCCAGGCAAGGCGUCGCUGCCCCUCUCAGAGUCUCGCUUCCUUAUCUCCUCGAUGAGGUGUCACAGCAGAUGAUCCCAAGCCUGCUUAGCUCCAGACAACUCCAGACUUGGAUGGGCUGAGUGAGCAGAAUGAUUGGAAUGCGAAUUCCGCUGCCAAGAAGGGUCAGAAAGUCUUUCACAGGACCCUGGCAUGGGCCACGAGAAGAGACAUGGGAGAGGCCCCAGGGCCCCUGACUGAGGGUGGACUCAGGAGGCAGCCAGCCAGAAGCGGGGGAGUACCAUCAACCCACAUCCUGGGCUGACUGUCACUGUGGGUCACUCACUACACUGCUUCUCCCAGGAGGGCCACCAACCUAUCCCUUCCUUCCUCUGCUCAUUCAACAAGAUGAAAGUGUUGACUAUAUUGAGAAGUCUCUUCCCACUCUGACCUUCUAUGACACUAAUGACAGGUCAAGCCCUGUGAUCAGCAAUGCUCAUUCUAAAAGUCUCAUAAAAUAAUUCAAACAAGAGGAAACCUUAGCCUGGACAGUGGGAUAAGGAAACUGAGGCCUGGCAAGGGGAGUCUGCACCUCCAGGCCUCACAGCUUGCCGGGCCAGGGCCGGGACUCAAGCCCAACGAUCCUGACCUGCAAGCCUUCAGCUGCAAGGUAAGUGCCCUAGACUCUCUCCCUUCCCAUCGUUAGAAUCAAGUCCCCUAAGCCUGUCCUCAGUAGAGAUUCUGGAGUGGCCAUGACCUGUAUCCUCUGACAAACCUGAAUUCUCUCUUGCUGCUAAGGAAGAAAGUGAGCCCAGAGAUCUAGUCAACAGCCUCACAAAUCUUAAAAUCCUCUUCUGCAGGUUUAUGGCUUCUGAGAAGCAAGCAGAGGCAGCCUGUUCUCAGCACCAAACAUAAUAAUUAUAACAGCACUUGCAAUGAUUAAUCAACCAGUGACUACUGAGUGGAGUCCGUGAGCAUGCACGGCAGUGUGUGUGUGUCUGUGUGUGUGUCCAUCCAGGUGGGGGAGAGGGCGAUGGAGGUGACUGUUUCCAGUGAGCAGGUUUUAGAUGUCCUUCCCUCAGUGGAGGGGCUGGGUCGCCAAUUUGGCACUCCUUGGGUAGAGAGUCAUGAUCCACCUGGGGCUGCAGCUGUUUCUCCUGGGAGAGGAGUCCCAUUUCCCAUGGUCUUGACUCAGCUGGGCUGAGCUGGGCUCCUCACCAUACUGGGAGAAAGGAACUGAUGACCAGAAGCAGGUUCCAGACCGGUCAGCCAGAUUAACUAGAGGCUUUACCUGCAUGAUGUAUAGAGCAAAACCAAGGAACUUGGGAUGUUCAGCCUGGAAGAAAGAUGCAGAGGACAUGUGAGCUGUCACAUGGAGGAGGAAUUAGCUUUGUUCUGGCUGGCCUAGGAGGGGCCAGUGACCUUUGUGGAAAUGCUCCAGUGAAAGAGAGUUUGGCUCAAAAUAGAUGGGACAUUCUCUAUGUCUCUGCAGAAGCAAUGGGCUGCCCAGAUGUAAUGAGCUCCUGGUCAAUGAAACUUGAGAGCAGGAUGGCCUUACUGGAGCAGACCAUGGGGACCACCUGACUUCCAGCUUUCCCUAGCCUUGGUGACCUCGGAUGGCUGGCACCCAUGUAAUCAGACCAAAGCCUUGGUCUGUCAUCGAAAAGAAGUCCUGGCACUGAUGGGCAACCAGUGGCCUUGCUGGGCUAUGCAUAGCCUUUGGGUGUUUGUUGGGGGGAGGAGAAGCAGCUUUGAUUCAGAAGACGUGGCUUGAGGACAGCUGGUUUCCCUGGAUCAGACUGG